ACCUUUGGCUUGUGUGAAUAACCCAAGUCAGGGAGUUGCCGGUGGUAAGACCAUCUACCAAAACUUGAUUAAAAUACUUUGUCUGAAUCUUUUGCUUCAAUGAAAUAAAACUUUCAACAACGGAUCUCUAGGCUCUUGCAUCGAUGAAGAACGCAGUGAAAUGCGAUAAGUAAUGUGAAUUGCAGAAUCUCGUGAAUCAUCGAAUCUUUGAACGCACAUUGCGCCCUAUGGUAUUCCGUAGGGCAUGCCUGUCUGAGCGUCAGCUCCCACCCACUCAAGUAUCUUUUUUGGGGGAUUCUUGGAAUGAUUUGGAGAGGUGUCUUGUCAUAGAGACGUCCUUCAGAAAUUCAUAGGCAGUAUGGUUUGCACCUGAACCAGACGUAAUAAUAAUAAAAUCGUUUCUUUGGGAAUAAUUGUGCUUGCCUUAACCCACCCAUUUCUCUCAUUUGGGUGACCUCAGAUCAGGUAGGGAUACCCGCUGAACUU
rnacentral:rRNA from 1 species